CAUCCUAAUUCCAUGCUUGUUUUCA
rnacentral:miRNA from 1 species